CUAUCAACUUAAACCUGAUAGUGGCACCUAAAAUAAGCAUUCCUGCUUUCUUCUUUUUAGGGUUACUGAAUGAGUGAAUAGUCACCAGUCUUGAAAAGAGCAGAUGGAGACACUGACUCGACGUGGAAAUCCAAACACCUCUCUGUGAAGUGUUUUCAGAGUUCAUCCCCUGCUGAAAGUCUCCUCAAGUUCUUUGCUGUUGCCCAGCCAACACCUGAGGGAUCACGAACAAACCUUGGAGCAAUAAUCAGAAUCCAGAGGAAAAGGUUGCAAUCUACAGGAAGCUGGUAGGUCAAAUUUUAAAAUUAUAUAAAUGCCAGUACAAUUAGAGAGAAAAAAUGUAAGCAG
rnacentral:lncRNA from 1 species